rnacentral:lncRNA from 1 species
GGCAUCGACUGGCUAGCCAUUUCCCAAAUUUGUUUCUUCUCGUCCUGACGCACCGUUAGGCGGUAUUUCCCAGCCUCCUUUGCGGUUAGAUGCGUCCACGUGACUGGGGUCUGACUGAUGGAGUGAGAUGUUUGCUGCUGUCAGGCCUGGUCCAUGAAUACCCUCCUGGCACCUUCUUCCAUGCUCGUUCUCCUUCCACUGGCUUGAUGCUGAUGAUUCUGGAAGCCUUGGAAGCUACACGCCAAAGAGAGAAGGAGCCUGUGCCCUGAGUCAGUGCUUGGAGGGGAGCCUGCCACCAGUCAGACUCAUAAGCAGCAGACUCCUACCCAGCUGUGGUGCUUGGAGAAAACAAGUCAUGUCCCCAACCUCAAAGUGGCAUUGCUGUCAGGGAAGAAGCCUGUGCAAUGAGUGGGACGGGCUGAUGGAAUCUCUUAGAGGACCCUGCAAAGCUUGGGUUCUGCUGGAUCCACUGCCUCAUUUCAUUCUGGUCUCUGCUCAUCGUCACCUCCACAGAGAGCCCACUCCUGACAUGCCAUCUCCAACACCUCCCCUUAGUCUCCCAGCCCUUGCUCUGCUGCAGAUUUUCCUUACUUCCUUUUAUCUCUGCCUGAAUUAUAUUAUCUAUUGGUGUGUUUUUUAUUUGUUUAUGGUCUGUCUCCCUGCACUAGAAUGUAAGCCCGGUGAGGACAGGUGCUCUGUUUCUAGGAUGCACCUCUGUUUCCCCAUAGACACUCAAUUCCAUUUGUUAUCGAGUGGACGAUUAUGUGAAUUCCAUAUCUUGGGCUUCUCCUGAAAAGAUCUAAAGCUCUACAACUCUGCUUUUCAGAAAAGAUUUGGAACAGAUCAUGGUCUAUGGAGUUUUUUUCUUCUUUGCUAAAUUAAGCUAAAAAUGACUUUUCCUCCCAGGAUUAAGUUCACGCCAUGCCUCUAUGUUCACCACUAACGGGGAGACAGAAAUCCUUAGUACCUGUGAGGGUAAUUUUGACUUACAUUUGUAAAUUUCCUAAGGAAAUUGCCUGAUAUUCUCAGACACCGUAAAGCCUCACUUAGUAGCUUUCAUGAAUUUGUAAUGGUAUGGGCAGAAUUUGGCUUGAAGUAUAUUUUCUCUUUUGUUUUCUGAAAUAAGGUUUUGCCGUGUCAAGUAAUAGUCUGAACAAGAUUGCAUGGGAACUGCUAAACUGAUUAACAAAAUAAUUUCUUAUCCAAGUUUUUCUAGAGUAUUCAGCCACACGAAUACACCCGUGCUCCAAUGGUUUUAAUGACUCAUCUCUAUUGAAUGGAACAGGUGAAAUAGAACCUUGAAUUCAAAUGCUAACUUUGGGUCUCGUUUGAACCUUACAACAAACGAUAAAAUUUUGCAGAGACCAGGACACAAAAUUUGUGUACUCCAUUUUUGGCAACAAACAUUAAGAAACAAUUAAUAAAAUAGAUGCGUUCAAAGAAAGUCCCCUUGAUAGUUGAGCCCUAGGUUGUGCCUCGAAAUUCCUGUUUUUUUCAUUUGCUCAUCUAGAAGGUGAUAAUGCCACCAUUGUUAGGCAACCGCAUCUAGUUCCUAAGCCAGUCCUGACUAGGGCCAGAGGCAUAUUAGCAUCAUUGUUCCCACCAGUAAAACAUAAUUAAAAUAAUAAUACUUGCCGUUUCCUGAAUGCUUACUACAUGCCACAUAGUAUGAACUUAAAUAGGAUUUCCUUUAGUCUUCUUGAUCAAGCCCAUGAGUUAGGCAUUGUGUCAUUUUACAAAUGGGGAAACUGAGGCUCAAAGAAGUUAAUUAAUUUAUGCCCCAAAGUCCCACAGCUAGUAAGCAGCAAAGCCAGGAUUUAGAACCAAUGCUUUUAACCCUCAAGUCACUGCUCUUAUCCAGCGCACCAACGACAGAUGGCCUUUGGUGCCGUACACUCAGCCUCGGUGCACUGAAUAAGUCCCGUGUGCCCUGCCAUCCUCCAAGGCUCUUCCCUCCAGCACUCCUGUGGCUGUUGCAGUCCACAGGGCUGGAGCUCUGCCUUGGUUUCUCUUCCUAGCCCUCUAGUUAUUUCCAGUAACAGCCUACUGUUCCUGGCCCAAUGUAUGACUGAUAUUUGGCAUGUUCUCCUUCGUAUGGCAACUCCCAGGGACAUACUCCAGCCCACUGAUGAGAACUCUUUGAUUCUCUUGCCUGUCAGAAUCACAUCUGAGCUUGCUCAGUCCUUUAAUAUUGCUUUUCAUCGCCUUCUCCAGGCUCUAUAGACAACAUAGUUUUCCCUAGUCCCAUCCUAAUGACCAUGGC